CUGCACUAGUCGUUCCAGUUGUGAACUUCUGGUGGCCCAGUGUUCCUACAAGUCUGUAUAAAGAAACCUUGGGUUCUCUACCCUUUCAAGAUCAAAUGGCAAUGCGGGUUGCUCAUUACACCCCUUGGCUCUAUAACUGGUGGCUAACUCAAAAAUGGUUCCCUUCUUUCUCCAUCCUGCAACCAAACAGCCCCCUUUUCAGCGACUCGGAUAAUGAGGCCUUUAAAAAUCUGCUGAGCAUCAUAAAUUUAGAUAAGGUAUAUCUUGUAUUACUCUGAUCGUAUCACAAGGUCUUUAACGUUCUGUUUAGAAAUUGAAAAUUAUAUGCAAUACCGGGGCUUACAUCUGUCAGCAGUCUGCAUCUUUGAAACAUUCCAGGAAACUCUAAUUCACAUCUUUUUUUAAGUUUUAUUACAAGUAUUUUGCUUAAUCAAUCCAACUGAGAUUUAGAUGUUUAGGUAUGCGUUUCAAGCAUAUAGUUUCCGGUCAAGCAAAAGCUAGUAGAGUUAAAAAAAUUUUGUGCCUACUGUUCACUCUUUUAGCUCAUUACAUCACUGUGUAUUAUUCAGGUGAUGAAUUAUAAAGCACGACAGCAGGGUGAUUACGAGUCUUUGGUCCGGGACAUGAUUACUGGGUUCGGAAACUGGGAGUUUGAUCCUGCUGAUAUCGCAAAUCCAUUCCCUAACAACGAAGGCUCAGUUCACAUUUGGCAAGGCCUUGAUGAUAAGAUAAUUCCAUAUCAACUUAACCGUCAUGUCUCAGAAAAGCUUCCAUGGGUUCGUUACCAUGAGAUUACUGAUAUUGGACACCUUUUAGCAUUUAAAGGCAACAAUUCUGAUGUCAUUUUGCAAGAAUUAGUACUUGGAUGAAUUAGAAGUUUUCGCAUAAUGGUAAGCUGGUAUUCUUGAUCAAUAACUUGUCUUUCUGAUUGUAAUCCGCGUGACUGGUUUAUGUUUUCGCGUAGUCUUGAUUCCUAGUGUACUUCUGAUUUAUGUAUGCAUCAUGAAAAGUUUUAAAGAUAAUUCUGGCAUUUUGGUUAUGGAUUCGCUUCAAGAAUGCAGAAUAAGAUAUCUUGUUUUAUACCUGAAACUAGAAGUGAUCAGACAUGAUAUGAAGAGUAAAUUAGAAUGAUAUGAACAGCCUCUCUACUUUAAGUAGGGGCAUGGUCUGCGUACAUCUUAGCCUCCUCAGACCUGCUCUAAGCGGGAUAUACUGAGUAUGUUUGAUUUGGUUUUGUAUACUAUUUUGAAUAUAUAAGAAAGAAGGUUAUAGAUAAUUGAAUAUAAAGAAAUCUGAGGCUCUUCAGAAUUGCGAUUGGAUGUGGGAGAGGCUCUCCCAGUAGCCUUUUUGUUAUUGCCCUCUAUCCAAAGACAGAGAAUUCGAAUCUUGUGGAAUGUGUGGGAGAGUCCUGAGUAUCAGAUAUAAGCACACUUAAAACCCCCCAUGAUUAUGUUUAUUAUUUCUCCAUGGAUAAAAAACCAUCUCAUCCUUCUGUUCAUCCUAAUUAUAAACGAAACAAGUGUAUGAUAAUAAAUUCAGAGGUUUCUAGAAUAAUCAAAAUAUGAAAAUAAGUGAUGUUAAGCGGGUGUAUUCGAUUGGGAUUUUAAUGGAUUGUUUUUAGUCCAUGGAUUUUAAUGUAUUGUAUGUGAUUUUGAUUUUAUACGGACUCUUGAUAAAAUGUCGCACAGUUGAUAGGAUUUAAGCACAAUGUUUCAAAAUCCCAGUGAAUUUGGUGGGAUUUCAAAAAACUUAAAAUACAUUGAAGAAUGUCACAAAAUCCAUCAUCUUAUGAAAUCCAUCAGCAUUUGAAUACCAUCAGAUUUUAAUGGAUUUUAAACAAUCACAAUUGAAUACCAUCAGAUUUUAAAGCAUAAUUUAAAAUCUCAAUUCAAUACCACCAGAUUUUGUAGUAUAAUUUAAAAUCCCAAUUGAAUAUCUCAAGAUUUUAAUGGAUUCCAAACAAUCCCAAUCGAAUAUCCUCGGAUUUCAUGAAUAAAAAAAAAUGAUUUAAAAUCUCAAUCCAAUACACCUCUCUAAAUUAAUUUGUGACGCUGGACUAAGUGGUAUCUCAACUUGAAUUUUUUUUUUAAAUGGUUGCCCACCCUAUUUAUAUAGGGAUCAAAUUAAGCUUUUUCUGUAUGAUUGUUUAGGAAUUAGGAAUAUGUUUGAAAUUAGUUAAUUUUAUCUUAUAAUCAUAUUCGCGUUAUGAUAUCUUCUGGAUUUGAAAGAUGUUGUUGAGAAAUAUUAUCUUUAAUUAAUUAUAUAUUAUUUUCUCAAAGUAAGAAAGUAAUUAUUGAGACUAUUGUUAAUAGAUUAUUAUUUAAAAAUUUGGAAAAUUAUUAAGUCAUACGAAAAUAAACAGUAACACUUUCUACAUGAAAAUAAUAUAUAUAACAAAAGCCCUGCAACAUUUUAGAAGACAAAGGAAUUAUUUUUCUAUAAGAAAAAUUAAGACGUAGAUAUAUCUCGGUUAAAAUAGAGUAUGUGGGAGUAAAAUGUUGGCAAAUCAUGUCCUUAUUUUAAAAAAAGUAAGAAAGCUAUUUUCGUAAAAAUUAUUAGGUUAUUGUAAAAUAAAAUAUUGUGUGACAUGUAAGUAAAAAGUACUUUGAUCCAUAAUUUUUUUAGGGACUCAUUUUAGUCUUAAAAUCCUCCGUCAUUGAAUAAUGUGAGCAUUUUUCCAACACAAACUCAAAUCUAGAGAUCAUAAAAUCCAUUCUUUUAAUUUUAAUAUAAAACUAAAUUAUGUGAAAUAAUAUGAAUACAUAGGAAUGAAAAGAGGAAAUGACACAGUGGAAUAAUCGUUAUUUAGGUGUCAUUUGUUAACGGGUGAACGUUUCAAAACUGAACUGGAUGGGACAUUUCCUCUCGUUCAAUCUGUUUGUUAAAAUCUUUUACACCUGAACGACACCGAGAAUUAGCUGGACGACUGGUGUUACGAAACUUGGUUGAACCGUCCAGAUAGCAGAUGCCCACGACCUUGAGUUUGCCUGAUCUUCUUGUAAUAAAUUUUAUUUAUACUAAUAACACAAAACUUUUGUUCAUUAAUAAUUUUAAAAUGAAAGAAAUAUAUAUUUUGCCAUCAAAAUUUAUAUAUUAAUUAUAAAAUUAUAAUAAAACAUAUAAUAAUGGUUGAUAGUCAUGACUAAAAUAAAUUUAAUAAAGUGAACCACUAUAAAAUGAAUACCUUAAAUUUUGAAAAAUUAUACUCUCUCUAUUUUUUAAUAUAUGACGUUUUAUUUUUGUCACACACCUUUAAGUGUUUUGACUGGACAGUUAAAAUUUUAUAGUGAACCACUAUAUAUAAAAUGAAUACCUUAAAUUUUGAAAAAUUAUACUCUCUCUAUUUUUUAAUAUAUGACGUUUUAUUUUUGUCACACACCUUUAAGUGUUUUGACGGGACAGUUAAAAAUAUUAUUUUUGGAAUAAAAAUAUGUAAUCAAAAUUUUAAUUCACAAAACACGUCCGUUAAAAAUAAUAAUUUUUACUAUCGCUCAACCCACGUAAAAGUACGUGUCCAAGUCAAAAGUGUCAUAUAAAAAAAUCUGAGAGAAUAUAAAUUUGUGUUCAGAACUUUACAAAAAAAUAAUUAACAAACAAUAUUAUCACUUCCGUUCAGAUUAGUUAUCAUUCAGAAAUUCCAGCCGUUCAGAAAAUUUUGUUCAGAUUUAACAAAUGACCCCUUACUGUCCGAGUAAUAAUAAAUAUCAUGAGUGUAGAUAUAAGAACCACACUCUUUUCCGUUUCCAUUCACCCAAAAUUUUGAAAACACGAUAAUUUUUUAUUUUUUUUAUCAAAUAGGAUUGUAUUAAAUCAUCAAAUCAUCCGAUUAAAGGAUCUCCAACAAUAAAAAUGAAGAAAACGAGAAUACAAUAAAGCUAUUCAGCUCAGAAGUACGAGCUACCCUGUUCGUCUGCUUUUUAGCAUGACUGAGAGACAAUUUACGAUUAUCCCUUGAUAUAUCUCCACACUACCACACUGACUAGUGAAUCACUUUCGAUUAUGACAAUACCUUCUAGUAACUCCCAGGAUUAGGGGUGAACACGGGUUGAGUCGGUCGGAUUAGGGGGAGUAAAACGACCUAACCCAAUUAGUUCGGUUUAUAAAAAAUUAACCCAUUGACUAAAAAACAUAUACAUAACCCAACCUUGCUAAUUAAAAUUCGGGAUGGGUUGGUUCGGUUUGGGCCGGGUUUCACAAGAAAAAAAGAAAAAUCUGCCCCUGUCAAUGAUGCAAAUCUGCCUGCACUUCAUAAUACAUAACAAAAUGUUGUCCAAAUAAACAUCCAUUCCAGUUAUGAAUUAACAUAGCUUUCUAUUAUAUUUAGUUAUCAGAAGUUCAGAGCAAUUCUAGUUUUAGCAUCUGGUGAGUUGUAAAUGAAUUUACAAGUUGAUUGGUCGUUCAACAGUGUGUACAAAGAUUGAGGAUAAAAUUGUGCAUAAAACUCAGAAAACAAUUCAGAAUUGCUCAUAAAACUGCUUCAGAAUUCUGUUAAAAAUAACUAAAAACCGUUUAUUUUAGUUGUUUGUAUAAACGGGUUGAGUCGGGUUGGUUAAGGGUUAUAAUAUGUUAAACUCUAACCCAACCCAAUUUAUUCGGGUUUUUUUUAAAUUAACCCAUUUAAUUAUCGGUUUCAUAUGGUUCGGUUUAAUCGGUUGAAAAGAGGGUUGGUUUGGGUGGGGUUUUGCGGUUUGGGUUGGUUUUGUUCACCCCUACCCAGGACCACAACAGCGCUUCUAGAUGCCAGUUGACUCAGCUUCUAUAAACAGUUGACUCAGCUUCUAUAAAGAGCCUGCAAACCUCAAUGUUUCCCCGCAAUGAACUGGCCAUGGUGAUCUCUUAAAAUAAGAAAAUAUAAAUAAAUAAAAAUGUUGAUGUAAAGUUUGAACGAUAUUGGUAAACAUAUCAUUGUCAAUUGGUCAACAUCAGUUAAACUAAUGCUCCUCAGAGCCUCCGGCAGUAUUUAACUUUUGCACCCAUAAUAAAAAAAUCUAUACUUAUAUAUAUCACAGUCUUCUCUCAAAAGAAUUUAAUUAUUAAAAUAUUUCAGUCAACAAAAGAAGCAACAAAAGAAGCAUCGUAAAGUAUUAACUUUGUUCGGUACCCAAGUCGGCUAGAUGACAAUUGUGUUUGUGUGACAUAUAUUUGUUACACCUACUAAUGAUACCCAAUCAGCUAAUUACACGUUUUUUUAUUGUACAGUUUCUUUGUAAGCAUGCAGAAACUUCUUGUGGUAUUUUGACUAUAUUGUCCCAUUUCGAUCAGCAAUCUUAUAUAUUUAUAUACGGCGGAUUGUAAUUUAGAGAAAGGGUACUAUCAUCAGCUGCUCGGGAAGGACUCGGACAAGUUCUCCCUCUUCAAUUUUCUGCUUGUUUUCUUCAAGCAGGUAUGUGUACUACUUCACUUUUAUCUUAUGUAUUAUUUACGUAAACAGCGCGGUAAAUAUGUUGUAGCAGUCGUAUCCUGUGAACCUGACCAGUAAUGGCCAGUAAAUGUAUGUGUGUAAAUUUACACUUGGAUUAAAAGGCUGUCUGGAUAAGUUUAGAAUAAGUUUUUUUGCUUAAAGUGAAUUAGAAGUUAGAAGCAAGUUAAGAAUUAUAAUUGAUUAAAGUGUUUGAGAAAGAAUGAGUUAGUAUUCUCAUCUCGACUUUUUACACAAACAGUAUGAGUAAGUGAUUCUGACCAAACACCAAGUUUCCGGUGAACUGAAUAGCUUCUGGGUUUGUUUUUAAAGUAGUCCAGUCAGCUGUUUAGGAGCUCCUGCUUGCUAUUUUCAUGUAUCUAAACUAUUGUAGAUGGACAUUCAUUGCUGCCCUUAUGAUAUAAAACUGUCGGUGCUCAUGUUCUUUGACUUUAGAGAUAUCUUGUUCGGGGGUCGAUUCAGUUCAGAGUUAUAAUCGGUUUCAACGGAUUAAUGAUAAUCAAUGAAGUCUAAUAGAUAAUAGUUGACUUAAAUUCGACCCUGAGUUUAGCGGAAUUGUGGUAAAAUCUUGUAGAAUUGGUUUUUACUUUCUUGUAGUAGGUGGUACUAGACGAAUUGGCCUUUUUUUACUUUCGGGUUUUUGAUCAUGUAUGUGUUCAUAAAAUGUGUCAGACUUGCUCAAAUAUAAUGAAACUGAAUGUCAUUUUGACUGAUGGCGCAGAUGUUACUGACAUAUCACAAAAUUUAGAACAAUUGUGUAUAUUUCACACAAUAUGUUCACAGUCAAAAUUUAGGAACCAAUUGGGUAACACAUUUGGACUAAUGGUGUCCGGUCAUAUUUGGGUAAUGGAGAUGUGUGGUGUCAUAUUUUGUUUCGUGUCUCGGUAUUGGUGGUGUCAAUUUUGAGUUGAUUAGUGUUGGUGAUUCAUGUUAGAAAUUGCCACUCCAAUUUGUGCAGAUUUUCUUUAACGUCUGAAGUUGAAUCCUUGCUUUGAACCUUAUGAUUUCUGCUGUUAAACUUACACACAACUGACGUAGUUACUUUCUCCAGUUAUGACAUUAAAGGUAGCACUGGCAGCAGUUGUAUGUCUCGUAGGCUGGGCAUAUGUUGCAAUAAUUAAGCCGCCUCCCGCCAAAGUUUGUGGAACACCAGGAGGCCCUCCUGUUACUUCUCCGCGAGUGAGACUCUCUGAUGGCAGACAUUUAGCUUACAAAGAGGAGGGAGUUCCGAAAGAAAACGCCAAGUACAAAAUCAUAACAAUGCAUGGCUAUGCUAGUUCCAAAGAAUUCAAUCUCAUUUUUUCUCAGGUAAAUUAUACUCAUUUCUAACUUACAGUGGCUUUUAAAAAAAAUUACUUGUUUUUUCCUCCUAUGUAGUUCGCCUUGUAUCAAGUCCGGUUCUUGCAAUUUUUAAUGUAAUAUGCUAAUAGCUGUGUUAUAAUAUUCAGAAACUCAUAGACGACCUCCAGAUAUAUCUGCUGUCAUUUGAUAGAGCUGGUUAUGGAGAUAGUGAUCCAAAUCCAAAGCGCUCAGUAAAGAGCGAGGCAUUUGAUAUACAAGAACUGGCAGACAUAUUGAAGAUCGGCUCUAAGUUUUAUGUCAUUGGAGUAUCAAUGGGAGGAUACUCUGCUUGGAGUUGCUUAAAAUACAUACCACACAGGCAUGUACUUACUUUAUCUUCUACGCAGUUGCUUCAUAUUUUUGCUUCCUUCCCAAUAACUGUUUUUUUGCAGAUUGUCAGGAGCUGCACUAGUCGUUCCAGUUGUGAACUUCUGGUGGCCCAGCGUUCCUACAAGUCUGUAUAAAGAAACCUUGGGUUCUCUAACCUUUCAAGACCAAUUGGCAAUCCGGGUUUCUCAUUAUGCUCCUUGGCUCUAUUACUGGUGGCUAACUCAAAAAUGGUUCCCUACCUUCUCCAUCGGUCAACCUAACAGCCCCCUUUUCAG
rnacentral:lncRNA from 1 species